ACUCACUUCACUAAGCAUCAGUUCAUAAUGUAUCCUUGAAGAAAAUCAUUGUCCCAUUUUCAUCUUUAUAUCCUAAAUUCCUAUCACUAUCAAUGGAACACAAUGAGAAACUAAAAGUUGGAGAACUGAAGCAGUUUUCCCAUGCUGCACAGCAAGGAAACAAUAGAGCCAGAUUCUAG